UACGUAGGGGGCGAGCGUUGUCCGGAUUUAUUGGGCGUAAAGAGCUCGUAGGCCGUUCGGUAAGUCAGAUGUGAAAACUCCAGGCUCAACUUGGAGAGGCCAUCUGAUACUGCUGUGACUAGAGUCCGGUAGGGGAGCACGGAAUUCCUGGUGUAGCGGUGAAAUGCGCAGAUAUCAGGAGGAACACCAGCGGCGAAGGCGGAUCUCUGGGCCUUACCUGACGCUGAGGCGCGAAAGCUAGGGGAGCAAACAGG
rnacentral:rRNA from 1 species